CACUCAUUCAAAGAGUGCGUAAUAGCUCACUGGUCGAGUGAUCCUGCGCCGAAGAUUUCCGGGGCUAAAACUUACUACCGAAGCUACGGCAUCAGUAAUGAUGGGUAGGGGAGCUUCCCAUACGGGUGGAAGCAUGACCGUAAGGACAUGUGGACAGUAUGGGAGUGAGAAUGUUGGCAUGAGUAGCGAGAUGUGGGUGAGAAUCCCACAGGCCGUAAACCCAAGGUUUCCAGGGGAAGGUUCGUCC
rnacentral:rRNA from 1 species